rnacentral:rRNA from 1 species
UAAGACGUAGGGGGCGAGCGUUGUCCGGAUUUAUUGGGCGUAAAGCGCGCGUAGGCGGCCGCGCAAGUCGGAUGUGAAAACCCGGGGCUCAACCCCGGGCGUGCAUUCGAUACUGCGCGGCUCGAGACAGGUAGGGGAGAUCGGAAUUCCUGGUGUAGCGGUGAAAUGCGCAGAUAUCAGGAGGAACACCGGUGGCGAAGGCGGAUCUCUGGGCCUGUUCUGACGCUCAGGCGCGAAAGCUAGGGGAGCGAACAGGAUUAGAUACCCUGGUAGUCCUAGCCGUAAACGUUGGGUGCUAGGUGUGGGGGGAUAUCGACCCCUUCCGUGCCGAAGCUAACGCAUUAAGCACCCCGCCUGGGGAGUACGGCCGCAAGGCUA